UGGACACAACCCGUACUUGUGACAGCGACUACUGAGGAUGGUGGCACACGCCUGUUGUCAAAUCAAACCUGCAAUGGACGCUGAGGAUGCCUCCGUACGGAUGAGCCAACGGCCGAGAUUGCCUCUCUUUCAACUUGUCUUUCUACUUUCUUCUUCAGCUCCAGCUUUAGCUUUGGUCGGCCCCCCUAUAAAACCACUCAUCUUCGCAUCUCGCACUCUUCUUUUCUUUUCACUCUCUUUCUUUUGCUGCGUGAUACCAACACCCAACGCCAAUGGCGCUGUUCUGGGAGAAGAAGACGAAACUAUGUCAUCUCCUUUUCGUCUUUUUCAACCUAUAAAUCUAAAAUUGCAUUAUGCGUGAGGGUUGGGUUUUCUUUCUCUCUUUUUUUUUUUUUUUCUAGUUUUAGGGUUUUCAUUUCGCGUGCAAUAAUUGCAUAAUGAGUGAGGUUUGGUGUUUCUGUUGGAUUUAAUAAUAUAGAAUAACGCUUCAAUUCCCUUUUUCUCUUCCCUUCUUUCGAACAAAAAUUAAGUUUGAUAUGAAGCAUUCAGCAUCAGGCCUGGGUCAGCAGGCUCAUGAAGGGGAAAACAAGUGCUUGAACUCGGAGCUAUGGCACGCCUGUGCUGGCCCACUGGUGUGCCUACCCACCGCGGGGAGCCGUCUGGUCUACUUUCCUCAGGGUCAUAGCGAGCAGGUAGCAGCCACCACUAACAAGGAAGUUGAUGCCCACAUUCCAAAUUACCCCAACUUGCCUCCUCAGUUGAUAUGCCAGCUCCACAAUGUUACCAUGCAUGCUGAUGUUGAGACAGAUGAAGUAUAUGCCCAAAUGACAUUGCAGCCUUUGACACCAGAAGAGCAGAAGGAUACAUUUCUUCCCAUGGAGUUGGGAAUUCCAAGCAAGCAGCCAACCAAUUAUUUCUGCAAGACCUUGACAGCAAGUGAUACUAGUACUCAUGGUGGUUUUUCUGUUCCUCGUCGUGCUGCUGAGAAAGUCUUUCCUCCACUGGACUUUUCGCAGCAGCCACCAGCUCAGGAACUUAUUGCGAGGGAUCUCCAUGAUGUUGAAUGGAAAUUUAGACAUAUUUUUAGAGGACAGCCUAAACGUCACCUUCUUACUACAGGUUGGAGUGUGUUUGUUAGUGCUAAGAGACUUGUUGCAGGGGAUUCUGUUCUUUUUAUUUGGAAUGAAAAGAAUCAGCUUCUUUUGGGAAUUCGCCGUGCCACUCGCCCACAAACUGUAAUGCCAUCAUCUGUUUUAUCUAGUGAUAGCAUGCACAUUGGACUCCUUGCUGCUGCUGCUCAUGCUGCAGCAACUAAUAGCUGCUUUACAGUAUUUUAUAAUCCAAGGGCUAGUCCAUCUGAGUUUGUAAUACCCCUUUCAAAAUACAUCAAGGCUGUUUUCCACAUGCGUGUCUCAGUUGGGAUGCGUUUUCGGAUGCUUUUUGAGACUGAAGAAUCAAGUGUUCGUAGGUAUAUGGGUACAAUAACUGGCAUAAGUGAUUUGGAUUCUGUUCGCUGGCCAAAUUCCCAUUGGCGGUCUGUGAAGGUUGGCUGGGAUGAGUCAACGGCAGGUGAGAGGCAGCCAAGGGUAUCAUUGUGGGAGAUUGAGCCUUUAACAACUUUUCCAAUGUAUCCAUCUCUGUUUCCCUUCAGACUGAAACGCUCUUGGCAUUCUGGUUCAUCUUCUUUGCAUGAUAACAGAGAUGAUGCAGCUAAUGGGUUAAUGUGGCUAAGGGGUGGAUCUGGAGAGCAAGGACUGCACUCUCUAAAUCUUCAGUCGUUUGGCUCAAUUCCGUGGAUGCAGCAAAAACUAGAUCUGAGUUUCCCUGGAAAUGAUCAUACUUUGCAGUACCUAGCCAUGCUGGCCAAUGGGUUGCAGAACCUGGGAAGUGGGGAUGCCCCGAGACAGCAGUUGCAGCAAUCUUUGCAGUAUGUUCAACAGCCUGGUGGCCACAAUUUACUAUUGCAGCUGCAGCAGCAGCAGCAACAGCAAGCUGUUUCACAGUCAGUUACACGUAACAUUGUGCAGGCACAAUCCCAAAUUUUAACUGAGAACUUGCCCCCAGUCCUUGGACAGGAGCAAGUAGGUAAUCAACCGGAGGAACAUGCUCAGCAACAGCAUAACAUGAUUCAAAGUGAUCAGUUCCAGCAGAGGCAGCCGGCUAAUGUGCCUUCAUCAUUUCUGAAAACAGAUUUCAUCAACUCAGCAAAGUUCUCAGGAUCUGUGCCCCCUCUCCAGAAUAUGCUGGGUUCAUUAUAUCCUGAAAGCAAUGUUAAUCUUUUGAACUUCUCCAGAACUAAUCAGUCGAUGCUAGCUGAGCAGUUAUCCCAACAGUCUUGGGAUCAAAAGUAUACUCAUUCACAGGUAAAUGCCUUUGCUAGCUCAACAUCACGUCCACCAGUGUUUCCUGGAAAAGAUGCUGUAAUAGAGCCAGAAAUUGGUAACUCUGAUGCCCAGAAUUCUACUCUUUUUGGUGUUAACAACAAUUCAUAUGGCCUUCUACUCCCCACCAUGAUGCCUGGCUUUGCUACAUCUUCAAGUGAAGCUGAUGUGCCAUCAAUUCCAUCAGGGGACCCCUUAUUCCAGAAUCCUCUGUAUGGUUGCAUGCAAGACUCUUCAGAGCUGCAGAGCACAGGGCAAGUUGACCCACUGGCUCCAACUCGAACAUUUGUCAAGGUUUAUAAAUCAGGGUCGGUGGGACGCUCAUUAGACAUCUCCCAGUGCAGCAGCUACCAUGAGUUGCGAGAGGAGCUGGCUCAGAUGUUUGGCAUUGAUGGGGAGUUGGAAGACCCUCUUAGAUCAGGCUGGCAGCUUGUAUUUGUUGACAGGGAGAAUGAUAUUCUUCUUCUUGGAGACGAUCCAUGGGAAUUUGAUCAAGUAGAAGCUCUUAGGCCCCGAAUCACUUCAGGAUUCAAGUUUUCUCAUCUAUCAACACUAUAUUAUAUUUACGAAUUGCCAAGUCCAUACACAAAAGCACAUCUUCAAUGUGCCUAGUAAGUUCAUCAAUAACUAAGCCAAAAGUUGAGUCUCAAAGCUGAUACUUGGUUUAAACUAGAGGUGACAAUUGGGCAAGUCAGGUGAGUUCGGGUCGAUGGAAAAUGUAUGUAUUUCGUGUUAUUUGGAUCUGAGUUUAACAUGGGUUAUUUUCAUUAGGGUUAUUGAGUUAGGGUCAUUUCAGUUUAAAGUAUUGAUUUUAAGUCAAAUCAAUUUAAGUUCAGAUUGCUUAAGGUUAGUCUGUUGAGUAGCUUAGGUUUGUUUCAUUCCAGGUUUGACCUGGGCGGGUUUGGAUUGUUGACUUUUCUUUCUCAAAUCAGGUUGGUUUAGGUUUGGACUUUAUUAUUUAUUUAUUUAUUUAUUUUUUCAGAUUAACUUUGACUGUAGUAGUUUAUACUCCGUUAAGCAACUUUUUCAUCAUCCAUAUCCUUUACACUGGAUAUAAGCACUUGACUUCUUUCUUCUCCAAGACCCUUUGAAAAACAAAAGGAAAACAGUAAAGAUAACAAGAAACUAUUGAUCUCAUAGGAAGAAGGAAAAAAUCCUGAGGGACUUAACUGAAGAGAGGUGACUGGAUCACAAGACUGAAUCAUAUGAUAGUUAAAACUCAAAAGGCGUUUGUGAAUAAUGUUUGGUACAUAAAGAUACUUUCACCAGAGGAUGUGCAGAGGAUGAGGG